rnacentral:tRNA from 1 species
ACUUUUUUAGUAUAAAUAAAAUACCAUUGGCUUCCAACCAAUUAACUCUGGUUCAACCCCAGAAAAAAGUA